rnacentral:rRNA from 1 species
UACGUAGGGUGCGAGCGUUGUCCGGAAUUAUUGGGCGUAAAGGGCUCGUAGGCGGUUUGUCGCGUCGGGAGUGAAAACCUUGGGCUUAACUCAGGGCUUGCUUUCGAUACGGGCAGACUAGAGGUAUGCAGGGGAGAACGGAAUUCUUGGUGUAGCGGUGAAAUGCGUAGAUAUCAAGAGGAACACCUGAGGUGAAGACGGGUUGCUGGGCCGACACUGACGCUGAUGCGCGAAAGCCAGGGGAGCAAACGGG